rnacentral:rRNA from 1 species
GGGCCCGCACAAGCGGUGGAGCAUGUGGUUUAAUUCGACGCAACGCGAAGAACCUUACCAGGGUUUGACAUCCCUUGAUGGCUAUAGAGAUAUAGCGUUCAGCUUGCUGACAAGGAGACAGGUGGUGCAUGGCUGUCGUCAGCUCGUGUCGUGAGAUGUUGGGUUAAGUCCCGCAACGAGCGCAACCCUUAUUCUUAGUUGCCAGCAUUUAAGGUGGGCACUCUAAGGAGACUGCCACGGAUAACGUGGAGGAAGGUGGGGAUGACGUCAAGUCAUCAUGCCCUUUAUAUCCUGGGCUACACACGUGCUACAAUGGUUCGUACAGAGGGAAGCAAAGCCGCGAGGUGGAGCCAAUCCCAGAAAGCGGACCUCAGUUCGGAUUGGAGUCUGCAACUCGACUCCAUGAAGCAGGAAUCGCUAGUAACCGCAGAUCAGCAUGCUGCGGUGAAUACGUUCCCGGGCCUU